rnacentral:tRNA from 1 species
GACCUUGUGACAUAAUGGAUAAGGUGUCUGUCUUUGAAUCAGAAUAUGGAGGGUUUGAGUCCCUUUGUGGUGG